rnacentral:rRNA from 1 species
GACGAACGCUGGCGGCAUGCUUAACACAUGCAAGUCGAACGGGAAGUGCUGUUUCCAGUGGCGAACGGGUGAGUAACGCGUAAGAGCCUGCCGUUGGGAGGGGAACAACAACUGGAAACGGUUGCUAGUAACCCGUAGGCUGAGGAGCAAAAGGAGAGAUCCGCCCGAGGAGGGGCUCGCGUCUGAUUGGCUAGUUGGUGAGGUAAUAGCUUACCGAGGCGAUGAUUAGUAGCUUGUCCGAGCGGACCAUCAGCCAUACUGCGACUGUGACACGGCGCAGGCUCCUGGGGGAAGCAGUGGUGAGUAAUGCACAGCAAGGGGCGGCCGGCUGACGGAGCAAUGCGGGCGGGAGGACGGAGUCCUAGGGGUCAUCAACUUCUUUCCUCGAAGAAGAGACAGUGACGGUAUCUGAUGAAUAAGCACCGGCUAACUAUGUG